AUUGAACGCUGGCGGCAGGCCUAACACAUGCAAGUCGAGCGGAGCGGCGGACGGGUGAGUAAUGCCUAGGUAUCUGCCUGGUAGUGGGGGAUAACGUCCGGUAACGGGCGCUAAUACCGCAUCCUAUCAGAUGCGCCUAGGUCGGAUUAGCUAGAUGGUGGGGUAAAGGCCUACCAAGGCGACGAUCCGUAACUGGUCUGCGAGGAGGAUCAGUCACACUGGAACUGAGACACGGGCCAGACGCCUACGGGAGGCAGCAGUGGGGAAUAUUGGACAAUGGGCGAAAGCCUGAUCCAGCCAUGCCGCGUGUGUGAAGAAGGUCUUCGGAUUGUAAAGCACUUUAAGUUGGGAGGCGUUACCAACAGAAUAAGCACCGGCUAACUUCGUGCCAGCAGCCGCGGUAAUUC
rnacentral:rRNA from 1 species